rnacentral:rRNA from 1 species
GACGAACGCUGGCGGCGUGCUUAACACAUGCAAGUCGAACGGAAAGGCCCUGCUCUUGUUGGGUUCUCGUGUGGCGCACGGGGGAGUAACACGUGAGUAACCUGCCCUUGACUUUGGGAUAACUUCAGGAAACUGCGGCUAAUACCGCAUAUGAGCUCUUGCUGCAUGUUGUGCAUUAGUGAGAUUCGGCGGUUGGGGCUGGACUCGCGGCUUAUCAGCUUGUUGGUGGGGUAGUUGCUUACCAAGGCUUUGACGGCUAGCCGGCCUGGGAGGGUGACCGGCCACAUGGGGACUGAGAUACGGCCCAGACUGCUACGGGAGGCAGCAGUGGGGAAUAUGGCACAAUGGGCGGAAGCCUGAUGCAGCAACGCCGCGUGCGGGAUGACGGCCUUCGGGUUGUAAACCGCUUUCGCCGGUGACGAAGCGUGAGUGACGGUAAUGGGUAAAGAAGCACCGGCUAACUACGUG